UCCAGACUCCUACGGGAGGCAGCAGUGGGGAAUAUUGCACAAUGGGGGAAACCCUGAUGCAGCGACGCCGCGUGAGCGAUGAAAUAUCUCGGUAUGUAAAGCUCUAUCAGCAGGGAAGAAAGUGACAGUACCUGACUAAGAAGCCCCGGCUAACUACGUGCCAGCAGCCGCGGUAAUACGUAGGGGGCAAGCGUUAUCCGGAUUCACUGGGCGUAAAGGGAGCGCAGGCGGCACGGCAAGUCUGGUGUGAAAACCCGGGGCUCAACCCCGGGACUGCAUUGGAAACUGCCGGGCUGGAGUGUCGGAGGGGUAAGCGGAAUUCCUGGUGUAGCGGUGAAAUGCGUAGAUAUCAGGAGGAACACCGGUGGCGAAGGCGGCCUGCUGGACUGCAACUGACGUUGAGGCCCGAAAGCGUGGGGAGCAAACAGGAUUAGAUACCCUUGUAC
rnacentral:rRNA from 1 species